GUGAAGAACGUAGCGAAAUGCGAUAAUUAAUGUGAAUUGCAGAAUUUAGUGAAUCAUCGAAUCUUUGAACGCACAUUGCGCCCGCGAGUAUUCUCGCGGGCAUGCCUGUCCGAGCGUCAUUUCAACCCUCAGGGCCCGCCUGCUUCGGCAGGCGCGGCGCUGGUGUUGGGGAUCGGCCUAACCGCCGUCCCCCAAAUACAGUGGCGGUCUCGCUGCAGCCUCCCCUGCGUAGUAGCAACACUCGCAUGCGGAGCGCGGCGCGGCCACGCCGUAAAACCCCCGACUUUCUGAACGUUGACCUCGGAUCAGGUAGGAAUACCCGCUGAACUUAAGCAUAUCAAUAAGCGGAGGA
rnacentral:misc_RNA from 1 species